rnacentral:rRNA from 1 species
GAACGGAGCUUAUAUUUCAGAAGUUUUCGGAUGGACGAGAGAUAAGCUUAGUGGCGGACGGGUGAGUAACACGUGAGCAACCUGCCUUUCAGAGGGGGAUAACAGUUGGAAACGACUGCUAAUACCGCAUAACGCUGCGAUGGGGCAUCCCGAUGCAGCCAAAGGAGCAAUCCGCUGAAAGAUGGGCUCGCGGCCGAUUAGCUAGUUGGUGGGGCAACGGCCCACCAAGGCGACGAUCGGUAGCCGGACUGAGAGGUUGAUCGGCCACAUUGGGACUGAGACACGGCCCAGACUCCUACGGGAGGCAGCAAUGGGGGAUAUUGCACAAUGGAGGAAACUCUGAUGCAGCGACGCCGCGUGAGGGAAGACGGUCUUCGGAUUGUAAACCUCUGUCUUUGGGGAAGAAAAUGACGGUACCCAAAGAGGAAGCUCCGGCUAACUACGUGCCAGCAGCCGCGGUAAUACGUAGGGAGCGAGCGUUGUCCGGAAUUACUGG